rnacentral:miRNA from 1 species
AAUGUUGGAAUCCUCGCUAGAG